GGAUCCGUGGUGCAAUGGUAGCGUAUCUGACUCCAGAUCAAAAGGUUGCGUGUUCAAUUCACGUUGGGUUCA
rfam:Ipomoea nil DNA, scaffold: scaffold0542, cultivar: Tokyo-kokei standard.